GUCAGGGUGGAGCUCUUAUUCUGAUGCCUUUGGCCACAAAUACCAGAGAAAACAUUUUCCGAAGGAUACGGACAAAGUCCAGGAACUGUUCUAGAACUUGGAACAUGUUAUAAGACUCAGCUGGCAGAGAGGAGAAGCAGCGGGACAUCAGGACUAUGGCUGGACGUCAGAGAGAAGCAGCUUAACUUCAGAGGUGCAGCUUGAUGGUGUAACUUAGGAGAAGAAUCUGACUGGAGACGGCCAGACUUCAGAAGAAGAUGACCUACCCCCCCAUCCCCUUUUCAGCUUCCCUUCCCGCUGAGAGCCACUUUUAUUGGCAAUAAAAUCCUCCACAUUUACCACCUUUCAAUGUGUUCAUGUGACUUCAUUAUUCCUGGACACCGGACAAGAGCUCAGGGGCCACAGGUGUGGAUAUGAAA
rnacentral:lncRNA from 10 species